GGAACGCAGAGCGGCCAGUGACGUCAUCAGGCGGCGCCGCCCACACAGUGAGCAGCACGUGGGCUCAGACUCAGCGAUCGCAAUGUCUCCGCCGGACCUCGCCAUCCAGCUCGCCCAGAGACUGGCCGCCAAUGACAAGAAAACCCGGGACCGGGCCGUCCGCAAACUGCGGGGAUACCUGAGGGCCCGGAGCGGGGCUGCCACCGGCGGUG